UACAGAGGUCUCAAGCGUUGUUCGGAUUCAUUGGGCGUAAAGGGCGCGUAGGCUGCGGGGCAAGUCGGGUGUGAAAUCUCAGAGCUCAACUCUGAAACUGCACUCGAUACUGCUUUGCUUGAGGACUGGAGAGGAGAUUGGAAUUCACGGUGUAGCAGUGAAAUGCGUAGAUAUCGUGAGGAAGACCAGUGGCGAAGGCGGAUCUCUGGACAGUUCCUGACGCUGAGGCACGAAGGUCAGGGGAGCAAACGGG
rnacentral:rRNA from 1 species